AAAAUGCUCCCUCCGUCCGGAAUUACUUGUCGCAGAAAUGGAUAAAAAUGGAUAUAUCUAGAACUAAAGUAAGUCUAGAUACAUCCAUUUCUUCGACAAGUAUUUCCGGACGGAGGGAGUAUAAA
rfam:Triticum aestivum genome assembly, contig: Triticum_aestivum_CS42_TGACv1_scaffold_580343_7BL